rnacentral:lncRNA from 1 species
AGGGCUUGAGGCUGUGAGUUCAGUCUCUUUCUCUCUCUCCCUCACUCUCUCUUGCCCUUCCAGGUCCUGCCAUGAGAUGAUACAGCAAGGAGGCCCUCACCACAUGCCAGCCCCUUGAUCUUGGACUACCCAGCCUCCAAAACUACUCCUGCAAGAUGAGUAGUCAGUGACUUCCUGAGUAGAAAUCAAAUGAUCUACAAUGGUUUUAAAAACAGAGAACAGAAGAGUAAAGCUGAAAAAUACUUUGUCACUGGCCAGGUACUCCCUUUAGAAGCAGAACCAUUGCUGUAUUUGUUACUAAGAAUGCUGUAACAUAGUCACCUGCCUGUGGUCCCAGCUACUUGGGAAGCUGAGGUGGGAGGAUCGCCUGAGUCCAGAAAGUCAAGGCUGCAGAGAGCCACAUUCACUGCACUCCAGCAUGGGUGACAGAGGGAGACCCUGUCUCAAAAAAAAAAGAAA